UGCGGCUUCUCCUUUCAUGAG
ensembl:piRNA 21ur-4121 ncRNA